AUCAACAUGCAGCAGUGCUUGAAUUGCUCUCUCUCGGGAUACAAAUAAAGUUUUUUUUCAAGUGAAUAUGGUGCUAGCAUAUGUUGAAUAGAAUAUGGUGCUAGCAUGUUUACAGUGUUACCUUGACAAGACCAGUCCACGGUGUAACCCCGGUUCUCGGCCGAAGUCAGCAGCCACACUAUUGAGGAUAAGGAAAAAAAAGAUAAAUGGACAGCAAAAGUCCGCAAAAGAGGGAAAUGUGUAAGCUACACCUCCCCUGUUAUAUGGAAUAUUAUUUGGCUUUAUUUGAUGUGGACGGACCGGAGCAGAGGGGUGCCAGAUCGACAAUCCGAGGGAGAAGUGGACCGCCAAGGGACAACACCCCAGGUUCCCAAAACCCCAGCAUCAGGGCUACAACUUGAGCGGGCGGGCGUGCAGACGAGCAGCAAGGCAACCCACCGCGCCAGCCGACACCCCAAGCCGCGGGGGAGGCCAAGCAGUCCCUGAUACAUUUCAAUGGUCACCGCAGACGCGAACCAAUGAAACGGUGAUGACAACCAUAGAACAAGAAGUGGAAGUGACUGCAAUGGUGUUACAUGGACUACAGUGUCUCGCUAACGCCACCGCAUGACAGCUUCAUCUUCUCCUUGGCUCUCGAGGACGAGAGACGAGAUGGCAACGUGACGGACAUGAUGGACGUCUCAUUUUGCCAAAGAUCCUUCACCUGGCAAAGCGUUGUGUCUCGCCGCAUCGUCAUCUGCUCCACGCCUUCCUUUGCCGUCUUGGCCGUGCGACUUAUCUUCAUCUUGUUUCUGCCUCCUGCCAGGCGUCCUGCUCCUGAUCACUGAAACAAUGGCACCCUGCAGAUUGGUGGAGUGCACCUUGGCUGUGACCCCGCCCCCCAUCACAUGACCGGGGGCUUGUCAACAAUUCACUAGGCUAUAUUUUCUUUGUUAUUAUUUCAAGGCUUACCGUGUGAGACAAAAAAAAACAGUCAAAAUAGCACAGAGUUGAAAUAUUACCCAAAAAAUAAAGUCAAAAUAUUAUGAGGAGAUAGGUGACAUAAUUGGAAAAUGAAAAAAAACAACAGAAAAAUAAAAAAUAUAUUAUAUAUAUAUAUAUAAAAUAUUCAGAGAAAAAUAUGGUAUUAUAAGAAGAAAAAUGUCACAAAUUUAAGAAAAUAAACU